GUUUAUCGUCCCUUCCUCUGAGCCGGACACUGUGGCCUCACUUAAUCCUCAAACCCUCCCAAGGGCAGUAAGGUACCCUAAUUUCCAUUGUCUUCCAAGGAAGAAAAAUGAAGCCCAGAGAAGUCACGGAACUUGUCCAAGGUCACCCAGCAAGGACUCAGGGGAGCGGGAUUCACAGCCAGUCGGCAGGGGUCCCGCACGGCAGGGAAGAAGGAGAAAAAGAAAGAAAAUGGGAAGAUAAAGGCUGCAGAGCCCGAGGGGGACUUUUCAGCCAUUUUACAAAAUAUCUGGCACGCGCUUUUCAAAAAUGCUAAGAUGGCAAAAUACCAAGACUCGAGAACUGUUUCCAGUUAAAGGAGCUAAAGAGACAUGGCAACCGAAUGCAAAGUGUGAGCUGGGGUUUUACUGGGAUGGAGGGUGAAAUCAGGAUGAGGUCUCCAGAUUAGGUAACAGUACUGUGUCUGUGUCAAAUCCCUGAUUUUGACAAGCGUACUGCAGUUAUGUAAGAAAAUGUUCCUGCUUUUAGGAAAUAUACACUGAAGUAUUGAUUUUUUUUUUUGGGUGAGGAAGAUUGGCCCUGAGCUAACAUCCGUGCCCAUCUUCCUCUAUUUUGUAUGUGAGAGGCCACCACGGCGUGGCUUGAUGAGCUGUGUGCAGGUCCACAUGAGGGAGCCGAACCUGCAAACCCCAGGCCACCAAAGUAGAGUGGGCAACCUGACCACUCCAUCACCGGGCUGGCCCCAAGAAAACCUGUUUUUAGAUGGUUCAGAAAAAAAUAAUCUCUGUGCAUGUGUGCGUGUGCGUGUGCGUGUGUGUGUGUGUGUAGGUAGGUAGUGGGGAGAAAAAGAGAGAGAGAGAGAAAGUAGUAAAAUGUUAAUACUGGGGAAUCUGGAUAAAGGAUAUCCAGGAAUUCUUUGUAUGACUUUUGCAACUUUUCUCUAAGUCUGAAAUUGUUUUAAAAUUUGAAACACAUUUAAAAGAAACUUUACAUUGCUGUUAGAAGCGGGAAACCAGCACCGCUUGCUCAGAAUUGAAGGUGAUUCUAAAAUGAAGCAAUGCUCUUACUCUUGCUGGUACACUGGUCUGCUAGGUCUGGGCCCUAGACCGCCUGUUCUUGGCUCUGGGUGCGGAUGGGCGAGGGCGGGGAGGCGUCAAGACAUCCUGGCGCCAGCCCAAGAUGUUCUCCUUGAUGUCAUGAGAAAGACUGGCACGGAGUAGAAAAGGCCAUCGCUUUCUCAUGAUGUGAUCCGAUGAUAUUUAGAGUCCUGUCCUAUGGGUACGAGCUCAGGGACAUUCAUUUCAUGUCAGUUUAACAGGCACCCUGGGGCCAGGACCGUAUGGAGCCCUGGCACCCAGAGAGGACGAGGUCUCCGCCCUCAGGAAGCUCACGAGCUGGGCAGAGACACUUAUGGGCAGGACUGGGGUGGAUGUGUGUCCAGGUAGAGCUCGCUUCUCCGAAUCCCGACGCUCCUGGGGUCCCUUGGAGUCCAGAGGUGAUGACCCUGGGGCUAGCAGGUGGCCCGGGAGCAGGCACACAGCAGGAACAGCUCAGAGUUGGCAAAGAAAAGAGAACAUUAUCAGUGUGUGAGAAAUGAGGUGGCAGGACCCAGCCCCACAGCCGUUCACAUCUGGACGAUGGAACAGCCUGAGCCAACGUGGUCUUCAGUGUCCCUUCUGAUGCCUCCCGGUACCCGCACUCGUCCUGCUCCCUGCUUGAACUGCAAGCCAGGCUUUCUCCCUCAUCUUUCUUUUUUUUUUUUUUGUUUGAGGAAGAUUAGCCCUGAGCUAACUGCUGCCAAUCCUCCUCUUUUUGCUGAGGAAGACUGGCCCUGAGCUAACAUCCAUGCCCAUCUUCCUCUACUUUAUAUGUGGGACACCUACCACAGCAUGGAGUGCCAAGCAGUGCCAUGUCCACACCCGGGAUCCAAACCGACGAACCCCGGGCUGCCGAGAAGCAGAACGUGCGCACUUAACCGCUGCACCACCAGGCCGGCCCCUCUUCCUCAUCUUUCUUGUGUGCCAACAAAUAUUGUUGAACGCUAGAUGAAGGAUCUCGUCACCCGCUGGGAAUGACAAGAUUUACACAUCCCAAGUAGAGGACCACAUAGAAAGGAGAGGCAGACUGAAAGACGCCUCUAAACAUCCCCUUGAUGCUGACUGAAUCACCCACAUGAGCGGAUACAGGAGCGCUCAAGCUACCACUGCCUGCCACCCACCUUCCUAGCAGAAGCAACGAGACACAGAGCGGUGGGCAGAACCUCAAACCCACCAGGUCACCAGCCCCAACUUCCCUUCUCUUGUCAUCCAGAACACUGCCAAGUCUUGAGGUCAGGAAAGGAAGGACGUCCAAGGGGACCGUUCCACAUACACGUGUGAAGCCCUCCCUGGAAGGGAUAGUGAGCCUCAUGACCUGCCUGCGAAGUCCGGGACCACGAUCCCACUGUGGAGAUGAGAGAACUUAUGCUCAGAGGCCUCGGGGCUAUGCCCACAGGCCGCACUGUCGCUGACAGAGCUGAGACGCCAGUCCAGACUCCUGAGUCCAAAGUUUAGGUGUUUCCCUCUCAAAGGUCUCAAACUGGCAGCUCCGGGGCCAAAUUAGACCUGUCGAUGUGCUUUUGGAGGCCAGCUCGAUGCUUUUAAUUUUUUUGAAAUGAACGGCCAACAUUUGAAAAUCAGAUUUCACAUAGACUUCCAGAUUUCUGGUUUCAUUUGACAAACUGAAAACUUUGACAACCCCAGGCCUGGAACCUCAACAACUGGCUGCAAUCGGUUGGGGAUGGAGCAAGAAGAGGCGACCCUCUGAGCAUUGAAUGAUGCUGGGACGGGGCCCCUUCAGCAGCAUCACCACCAUCCACCCAUGGCCGAUGCCUGAAAUCCUGCUGUUAGCACGUGAUCUCUUUGGUUAAGGAGUUGCCUCUUCAGGGGUCAUUUUCAAAGGCGAGUACUCCUGGAAGGUAUCAACCAUUCACACUUGAGUAUGAAUUGCUUUCCCAGCCUUCCCAAAUUUUUACAGAUGCUUGAGAACUGAGACACUUUGUCCAAGCAGCACACUUUUUUCAGAUAAAAAGUCUGAAACCGGAGAGGUGAAAUGCUUUGUUUGUGAUUAGGAGCAGAGCUGGAGCCAGAAUGUGGAUUCCCUGAGUCUGUGGCCUAGGGCAGCGGUCAGCAAACCUUUCCUGUAAAUGGUCAGAUAGUAAAUAUUUCAGAAUUUGCUGGCCAGAUGGUCUCUAUUGCAACUACCCCAUUCUGCAGCAGUGCUGUGAAAGCAGCCGUAGACAAUAUGAAAUGAAUGAGCAUGGAUGUGUUCCAAUCAAAUUCUAUUUAUGGUGCUAAAAGUUGAAUUUCAUAUAAUUUUUGUAUGUCAUGAAAUAUCCUUCUUUUGGCUUUUUUUCAACCAUUUAAAAAUGCAAAAACCAUUCUCAGUCUGCAGGCCACACAAAACCAAGCCCUGAGCCAGACUGAGCCCGAGGGCUGGAGCCCAUUUACCCAGGCCUAGAGCAAUGGUUUCGAGAAAACUGCACCAUAGGCCCUCUCCCACUUUUAAGUUGUUUCUAAAGUGUUUUCUCAAAAGCCUGAUGAAGCAGGAUGUGAUUCAGAAUUUGUAUUCAAUGUCAUAUUUUAAAUACUGACAUUUUAAAAGAAAACUGUUACAUCACCCUUUUAAAUGAACAUAGUGGAAGAGAAUUUUGACAUCCACCAUCAUCCUUUUUCUUUUUCAAUUUUUUUAUUGUGGUAAAACGCACACGAUACAAAAUUUACUGUCUUAGCCAUUUUUAAGUGUCCAGGUCCGUGGUAUUAAAUAUGUUCAUAAUGCUGUGCAACCAUCACCACCAUCCUUCUCCAUAGCUCUUUUCAUCUUGUAAAACGGAAACUCUGUCCCCAUUAAAUACUAACUUCCCAUUCCCCCCUCCCCCUAGCCCCUGGAGGCCACCAUUCUACUUUCUGUCUCUAGGAUUUUGACUACCCUAAGUAUCUCAUGUAAGUGGAAUUGUACAGUAUUUGUCUUUUUGGGACUGGCUUAUUUCACUUAGCAUCAUGUCCUUGGAGUCUAGCCAUGUCGUAGCAUGUGGCAGAAUCUCCCUCCUUUUUAAGAGUGCAUAAUAUUCCAUUGUGUGAAUAGACUGCAUUUUCUUACCAUUCGCGUCUGUCAAUGGACCGCUUCCAUAUUUCAGUUACUGUGAACAACGCUGCUAUGAACACAGAUGUUGAAGCCCGCCCCAAAAUAUGCCACUUAAGGCAUAAGGAUUAUUUUCAGUUAAAGGCACUUGAAAUAACAGCAAAUACAAGAAAAACGCUUUGACCUUCCUUCUUUUUCUUAAGAGCAGGAGAUGAAAUUCCCAUAGGAAAGAUGUCGUCCCUACCCCAGAAGGAAAGGAUAUUAUUUCCUGCUAAAAUGAGUCAGGCAUUAGCAUCCUAUUUUUCAUUUUUAUAGACGUGAGCGCUGACUGGAUGGGACUAGAAGGAAUUUUUUUUACAGUGACGCCACUCAAUCUUUCAACUGUGACCAAGUGAUGAGCCAGACAUCACAAAGUCACCUAGCAUCAAAUUGCUUUUUAAUUUUUAAGAUUCUGUGGCAAGCAAAAGCUGGAAACCAGCUGACUUGCAAAAGGAUUUGUUAUCUCAGAGUCACUAACUUCCUCGUCACCAGCGCCUACACUUCGAAUGGUCCCUUUGUUGGCACCCAGUAGGAUGGGGGAUGGGUUAGGCCUGCAUCGUUUUGGUCCAGUGAAAGAGCUAUUAGGGAAGGUGUGGAUGGGGAGGGGUCCAGAAGGACGGCGAGGAUCCCUGGGAAUCGAGUCCCUUAAGACCACCCGGGCCCUUCCCAUCUGAAGACCACCAGCCCAGUGCAAAGAGGGAGGAGGCAAAUCCUGUGCCAAGAACUCCAAAAACGCUUCCCAUGAACUAUUCAGUGCAAACCCCUAUACCAGGCUCUAAUGUGACUUCUAGCAGCCUAAGGCCACACCCUGGGAUGACCCAGCCCCCUCGAGCUCCUGUCUGGAAAAGCGCAACGCGGCCAAAUGAAUUUACCGUUUGUUCCAGCCAACACCUGAGGACAGCCCCCUGACCUCCAUAGAACAUUUACUUUAAAAACUUGCCAUCCUAGGGCCUGUCCCAGUAGCUGAGUAGUUAACGUUCUACGUGCUCCAUUUUGGCGGCCCAGGUUCACAGGGUCGGAUCCCGGGUGCCGACCUCCUCCACUAACCAGCCUCACUGUGGAGGUGUCCCACAUACAAAAAAUAGGAAGAUUGGCCUAGAUGUUAGCUCAGGGCAAUCUACCUCAGCAAAAA
ensembl:lncRNA